rnacentral:rRNA from 1 species
AGUGAACGCUGGCGGUGGGCCUAACACAUGCAAGUCGAACGGCAGCACAGUAAGAGCUUGCUCUUACGGGUGGCGAGUGGCGGACGGGUGAGGAAUACAUCGGAAUCUACUUUUUCGUGGGGGAUAACGUAGGGAAACUUACGCUAAUACCGCAUACGACCUACGGGUGAAAGCAGGGGAUCUUCGGACCUUGCGCGAUUGAAUGAGCCGAUGUCGGAUUAGCUAGUUGGCGGGGUAAAGGCCCACCAAGGCGACGAUCCGUAGCUGGUCUGAGAGGAUGAACAGCCACACUGGAACUGAGACACGGUCCAGACUCCUACGGGAGGCAGCAGUGGGGAAUAUUGGACGAUGGGGGCAAGCCUGAUCCAGCCAUACCGCGUGGGUGAAGAAGGCGUUCGGGUUGUAAAGCCCUUUUGUUGGGAGAGAAAAGCAGCAGGUUAAUACCCCGCUGUUCUGACGGUACCCAAAGAAUAAGCACCGGCUAACUUCGUG